GACAAAACCAUCCUUGCUGCCCCCUGUCAACCCUUCCGCCAUCAGAGCUGAUGAGGCAGGACCCAGAGAGCCCUCAGAGAGUGUGAUAAAGCUCAGCCCUCCCUAGGGUGGGCACUGCUCCUCCCUCUCAGGAGAGCCCUGAAGGGGGUGGAUGCCAAAGCUGUCCCCUGGUGGCUGUAACUGCCAUCUGAACUCCUACCAGCUGGCCUUCCUUCCUGUGGACUAAGUGGCUUCAGCUGCACACAGUGACCUUCAGGAGGAGAAAUGCAGUUUCCUGUACCCCUUCCUCCUGGGAGUGGGACUGUAUCAAGACGCUCACCUUUUAAGAGGCUUGCCCUAACUGGAGUGCUGGAGUCUGAACUUUCUUUGAACAUCGUUUGAUCUCAGAUGCAGCCAGUCCUGUGCACAGCCUGAUGGGAUGGAAUGUUCAGGAUCAUCAUGUGAUUCCCCUGGGUGGCCUAGCUGAGGGACACAAAUUUCCCCAGGCAGAGAAGACAGCACAGGAGGAAGAAGCUCCAAUAUCGAGAGUGAGAGGGCUGCAAAUUCGUCAAGAGCUGGCACCUCCAACCAAAAAUGUGCAGUUAUCGAUCAAUAAAACCAGCUUUUGUUUUAAUUUUUGACUUUUUGAUUUUUAGUUUUUUCCUCCCCAGCCAUCAUGGUGCUGCAUGCCCAUUGUAGAAAUCUGAGAAAAUGAUAAAGAGGUUGAUGAAAACUGUCUAUGAAGUUACUACCCACUGUAUUUUUCAUCUAUUUUUUUCUUUUAUACCUGAG
rnacentral:lncRNA from 1 species